UAGCAUGGGGCACGGAACAGCUCAGGCCUUCUAGUGCUUCCUGUUAGGGUAAUGACGCAGCCCCCCUCGCACAUACCCUUCAUCCCCAGUGUUCAUUCAUUUGCAUGCCUGCUUUCCAGGGAGGAAAAAAAUGCAGCCAUUAUCUCGGUGGGCACCUUAAACUGCCUUUUCCAAAUUACAGGAGAGGCAUGGCACUUGAGAAGAGGUGACCAGUGAGGAGAGAUGGAAAGAAGGCGGGCAGUCUUCCGAGGUGGCUGUCUUCCCUGGGGAGUCACCACCUGGGCCUGGCUCCUGUACUCGCAUCGGUUGUGCCGGGAUGUGAGGGUGCAGUUGACACAGGUCGCACCUGAUUGUGUGGGGAUGUGGGGGUGCGCUUGACACAGGUCUCAGCCGCUUACCUCUGUCACUCGGCCAGGCCGUGCUGUUCCCCACUCGCAUCCUUCCAGCAACCUGUGACAUCGGGUAAAAACAGACAGCAGGGAAGUCAGGUGACAUCAGAGCAGCCUGGCCCAGGGUGAAAAUUCAGGCAGGAUAUGGUGCAUCUCAACCAAGGUGUGCCGCCCAGCCCAGGGUUGGUGUGCAGUGAUAUUUUUCAGGACUUAGGGCAAGUCUGGCUAUAGGCAACAGGCUUUAUCCGCUGCCAAGUGAGACAAGCCCAGGAGGGCCCGGGCUCCCUCUUGCAUACCCUUCCUGAGGCUGAUGGGCAGGAGCCAGGCAUGGACUUCUGAGUUGGCAUCCCAUCACCCCAUGUGCUUCUAGGGCAUGCCCAGCCACCAGAGGCAGCUAGGUGCGGCAUGAGGAGCAGGGUUCCCAGGCCAGCUAGAGCUAGGGGAAUUUCAGCUGGACUGUUGACCUUCUAUAGGGCCUUCCCUAAGCCCCAGCUCUCUUGUCUGCAAAAAGUGGUCACACACAGCCCCAGCUCCCUUCUCCUUGUCCAGGUGAGCUUUGUGUGUUCAUAGAUGGCCAUAGUGCGGUAGCUUGACAGUCCGCAGGAAGUGAUAGCUGCCACGCGGCAGUGGGGUACCUGGAAGGUGUAGUGGGGCCCCACAGAGAGGACUGGAGGACUUUGGAAUUAGGUCUGAGUUCAGAUCCUAAUUCUGUUCAUUCCUAAAAUACUUAGCAAGUGCUUAUUAGGGAUUUUACGCUGGGGUUGAGACUACUGGCUCCCUAAUCAUAUUUGAUCUUGAGCAAAUCCCCAUGUUCCUCUGAAGCUCAGUUUCUUCGUGUAAAAGGGGUAAAGAAUACCAAUCUUUCAAGACUGUGUGGAGAAUGACCUGAGCAUUUAGAAGUGGCAGCUAGCUACUUUAUUAUUCUCUACUACAACUUUUUCUGCUGCAUUGUAGAAUUUUCUACUGUAACUGUGGUUAGUACGAAAGAUGAAUUGCCUGUGAGACUAUUCUCGCUUUGAUAUUUAAUCCAGCAGGUGUUUGCUGAGCACCUGUUAUGUGAGGGGCACCAUGCCAACCCAGCAAGACACAUUUGCCAUCCCCCGGGAGCACACAGUCCAGCGGGGGCCUCAGAGCCCCGGCCACUUACUAGCCACUGGCCAGUGCUGCAGUGGAGGCAUAAACUGAGCCCUGAGAUAGCACUGAGGAGAGAGCCACUGCUUCAGCCUGGGGGAGUUGACCAACGAUGAGAGAGACCGCAUCAGGCAGGUGAUGGUGCAGGGGGAGAGGGUCCCCAGCAGAUCGGGGCUGGGUUGUAAAGUCUGUGGGCUCCUCCCUGCUGUGAGUUGAGGCUGAGCUGUGGAAAGCUUCUCAGAGGGCAGGACGUGGCACUCCUUACUGCCCAGGGGAGGCCCAGCACUGUCCUGUAAAAGUGUCAUGUGAACCAUUCAUGGAAUUAAAACUUUCUGGUAGCCACAUUAAAACAGGACAUAGAAUACAGGGGAAACUAACAAUAUUGUCAGUUCAACAGGGGAUACUAACAAUAUUGUCAUUUCAACAUGAAUGAGACUUCAGCAUCAAAAUAGUAUAUUUCAAUAUACUAUCAAAGUGUUAUUGCAGCAGGAAUCAGUAUAAAAAUUAAAAUGACAACUUUUACACGAUUUCUUUUGGUAUGAAGUCUUCGAAAUCUGUGUAUUUUGCAGUCCAGCACAGUCCAAUUUGGACCACAUUUCUGAUACUGGAGCCACAUGUGGCUAGUGGCGACCACUUGCUACCUUGAGCAGUGAAGGGGUUAGCAGUUCUGGAAUAUGAGAAUUGGCAGUGAUUUGUGUAAUCCUGAAUCUUCCCUCCACCUGAACCAGCCUUCUCCUUUCAGGCCUUUGAACCAGCCUGCCCACCCCCAGAUUGGUAACUGGUAGUUUUCAGGGGGCAAAAGAGAAAAAACUGGGGGAACCCCAUCAUCCAUGGGUUAUAUGGUACAAAACCAAAAUGCAAGAAUUCCCUGGUGGCGCCUCCCUUUAUAUGAAUCUCUACCAGAUAGACCUCCCUGGAAAGCAAGUUCCUCUGUGCCAUUUAUUGAUCACCUGUAUGACCUAUUAGUGUACUAGAUAUUUCAGAUAAUACAUCCUAAUUUUUUCAACAGCUCUCUAAAGCAGGUUUUCUUAUCUCAUUUUACAGAGGAGGAAAGUCAGGGCGUGAGAGAUUAAGUACUUUGCCAAAGGUUGUGUGACUGGACGUGGCUGAGCUGAGGCUCAGACCUGGUGUCACACCCUGCUUCUUACCUCUGCUCCUGGCUGUUUCCCUAUUAGAGUUCAACACUGUAUGUGCAUUAGGAGCUCUAAACUGGAAAAAAUACACGUGAAGACCUUAAUAAGCACAUGUUUACAUAAAAAACACUGGAAGAUGAUAAUCAGAGAAAAGUCAUAAACUUAAUUCUGUAUAAAAGGAUGUGUUCCCACCCCCUGCUCUCUGCCUCCCUGCCUCCUGCCCACGCACACUGGGACCAGUUGGAAUGUUGCAGUGCUGACCAGUUGCCAUGGACUGGCAUUGGUGGGGGAGGGGGCAGGCAGCUGGAGUUUCAUUGGAAUCGGGUGGGACUCCGGUGUUUGUGAAGUCUUCCGUUUCCCGGGUUAGGGGAGCUAGAGGCACAGGUGGGGACCAGGUGCCAGUCCCAGUUGUAAAGCUGAAACUGUGUUAGUGGCUUCUCUGUCUUGCUGGGGCUGCUUGCUGGGAAGGAGCCAGACUGCAGUGUCCUCUCCCUCAGGGGCUGAUUUUAUUUAUUCAUGAAAGACACAGAGAGGCAGAGACACAGGCAGAGGGAGAAGUGGGAGCCUGAUACGGGACUCGAUCCCAAGACCCCGAGAUCAUGACCUGAGCUGAAGGCAGAUGCUCACCUUUGAGCCACCCAGGUACCCCAUGUUCUACCCCACUUUUGUCCCAGCUGGUCCCCUUCCCUCUUCUCCAGUGUCCUCUCAGAGAUGGUUUCCCUGAUUCGGGGGCCCCAGGGAGAACAUGGGGCUGUGCUUUGAGGGCCUCAGUAUAGGUGAGCGGAAGCAGGGAGACUGCCUGCUGUGACCUACUGGAGAGCCCAGAACUCAGACCUGUGCAUUUGGCCUUGAACUCCCGACCAGACCUGUGCUGUCCCCAGCAAUGUGAGGCUUUUCUCUAAGCCUCCAGGAACUUCUGGAGGCAUCUCACAGAUGUCAGGGGCUGGGCAGCCUCCGUGGCGCUAAUGCAGGAGGGUGCAGAUGGCAGCUAACUGAGCAGGACUGUUGGCCCUUGCAAACCCUGGGCUCCUGGAGCCACCCACCCAUGGCCAGUCCCAUGAGGGGUCAUGUGGGCAGCCAGGGCAGGUCCUCUGUUUUUCUUAGACCCACAGGCCAUUAACUCCACGGAGAGCGCUGCAACCAGAGGGCUGCUCAUGGCUCGUCUCUCCUCACGAUCCUGAGGCCGUGUCAGGGAGAGUGGGAGGGCGGGCUGUGGUUUCAGAGUCCACAAGGGAUGAUGCUCUGCUGUCCAUUGCUCUCUUAGAAACCCCUGUUGGUGCUGUUUACAAACCAGGUGACCAGUGGGUGAUCAGUGGCAGGACUUUUUUUUCUCUUGCUCCCUGGUUUCCUCCCUUUCCCAUCCAACUCACAGGCUGUUGGGGUGAGUCCCAGGAGCAUCAGCUAAUGGACAGUGGGUGCCUCCUGCUUGCUGUGCACCAUGUCACGGGUUCUCGUCUCGUCCUCACCAAGGCCCUGCAAGGGGCACACUGCCACUCUCAGCCCCUCCCAGGAGGUUCGGUGCCAAGGCCGGAGAAGUGUGGCCCUUCCUUCCAGACCCUCUCCGACGCACCCUCCUAGCAUCACUCAGGCAAGAUGCGGCAGCUCAAAGGCAAGCCCAAGAAGGAAACGUCCAAGGACAAGAAGGAGCGGAAGCAGGCCAUGCAGGAGGCCCGGCAGCAGAUCACCACGGUGGUGCUGCCCACGCUGGCCGUGGUCGUGCUGCUGAUCGUGGUGUUCGUGUACGUGGCCACGCGCCCCGCCAUCACCGAAUGAGCGCUGCGGGACUUCCCCAGCAGGCAGCAGAGGCCCGGGAGGGGGAAGGCAAAAGAAAGAUGGCCUUCGUGUUCAGAGAUUUUCCUAAUGCUGAGCUCUGAGCAAGAGCACCCUGUCUUCUCUGGUCUUUGACUUGAUUAAAGUUUCUCCAAUUUCCCUGGGAGGGAAUAGGGAACGUUUUAUCAGUGAACGUGCCAUACACCUUAUGGUCCACUUCAUGUGCCUUUCAGACUUCAAAGCAGUGUGCGUGUGUGUGUGUGUGUGCGCGCGUGUGUUUCUUUUUCCGCUCCUAAGAUCAAUAUGUAGCUCCACCCGGUGAGAGGAGGCAUCUCUGGGUCAUGAAUCAUUUGGAAUCAGUGCUUACCCCAUCCACAUUGUUUAGAACAUGACUCUUCCUACAUGUGUUCACAAUUUCCAAAGGGACUGUAUUUCUUCUCUGUGCUUAAUGUGAUUUGAAAUAUGUCGACUCAAAAGUGAAAUAUUUAUUUUUUGAAUAAAGGAGAUAAUAGCCUUAAA